UACGGGGGGGAGCAAGCGUUGUUCGGAUUUACUGGGCGUAAAGGGCGCGUAGGCGGCCACCGCAAGUCGACUGUGAAAUCUCCGGGCUUAACCCGGAAAGGUCAGCCGAUACUGCGGGGCUAGAGUGCAGAAGGGGCAACUGGAAUUCUCGGUGUAGCGGUGAAAUGCGUAGGAUAUCGAGAGGAACACCUGCGGCGAAGGCGGGUUGCUGGGCUGACACUGACGCUGAGGCGCGAAGCUAGGGGAGCGAACGGGA
rnacentral:rRNA from 1 species